rnacentral:rRNA from 1 species
UACGUAGGGUGCGAGCGUUGUCCGGAUUUAUUGGGCGUAAAGAGCUCGUAGGCGGUUUGUCGCGUCGGCCGUGAAAUCUCCACGCUUAACGUGGAGCGUGCGGUCGAUACGGGCAGACUUGAGUUCGGUAGGGGAGACUGGAAUUCCUGGUGUAGCGGUGAAAUGCGCAGAUAUCAGGAGGAACACCGGUGGCGAAGGCGGUUCUCUGGGCCUGACCUGACGCUGAGGAGCGAAAGCGUGGGGAGCGAACAGG